rnacentral:rRNA from 1 species
AUGAUAAAGGAGGAGCGUGAGGAGUUUUCCCGUAAGAUGGCGAAGAUGCGUCUUGAGAUUGAAGAAAAGUAUAAGCAGGACUAUGAGUACAUGAAAAAAAAAGUUUGUCCUUGGCUACAAGGAAAUGCAUCAAACGUUGCAGAAGGACCGGAAGCUUGUGGACAGUAUUAUACAGACAGAGCGAGCCAGGAUGGAUGCGUAUGUGUUGUAGGCACGUGCGGAUAUGGACAGUAA